UCAAAUUGAUUGAAAUAUGACAAAAGAAAAGAAGUCAAAAGCUUACCAAUCUCUUCAAAGUUGCAUAGCCAAUUCCUCGCACAUAUCAAAGCUUGAACUGUAGAAGGAAGAAGACAACUCCGAUACUUGUUUAAAACCCGACUUCCUAUGCUGAAUGAAGACUCUGAAGCUACAGUUGUAAUGGAUGAAACACGCCCACGGGCCGCCCGUCCAUUUUGAGAGCUCUAUUGUUUUAUAAAAAUGGAUGAAACUUUAGUAGU
rnacentral:sRNA from 1 species